rnacentral:rRNA from 1 species
AGUGAACGCUGGCGGUAGGCCUAACACAUGCAAGUCGAACGGCAGCACAGUAAGAGCUUGCUCUUACGGGUGGCGAGUGGCGGACGGGUGAGGAAUACAUCGGAAUCUACUUUUUCGUGGGGGAUAACGUAGGGAAACUUACGCUAAUACCGCAUACGACCUACGGGUUAAAUCAGUGGAUCUUCGGACCUUUCGCGAUUGAAUGAGCCGAUGUCGGAUUAGCUAGUUGGCUGGGUAAAGGCCCACCAAGGCGACGAUCCGUAGCUGGUCUGAGAGGAUGAUCAGCCACACUGGAACUGAGACACGGUCCAGACUCCUACGGGAGGCAGCAGUGGGGAAUCUUGGACAAUGGGCGCAAGCCUGAUCCAGCCAUACCGCGUGGGUGAAGAAGGCCUUCGGGUUGUAAAGCCCUUUUGUUGGGAAAGAAAAGCAGCAGGUUAAUACCCCGCUGUUCUGACGGUACCCAAAGAAUAAGCACCGGCUAACUUCGUG